rnacentral:rRNA from 1 species
UCUGGCUCAGGAUGAACGCUAGCUACAGGCUUAACACAUGCAAGUCGAGGGGAAACGAUAUUGGAAGCUUGCUUCCGAUAGGCGUCGACCGGCGCACGGGUGAGUAACGCGUAUCCAACCUGCCCAUCACUUGGGGAUAACCUUGCGAAAGUAAGACUAAUACCCAAUGACGUCCAUAGAAGUCAUCUGAAGUGGAUUAAAGAUUUAUCGGUGACGGAUGGGGAUGCGUCUGAUUAGCUUGUUGGCGGGGUAACGGCCCACCAAGGCGACGAUCAGUAGGGGUUCUGAGAGGAAGGUCCCCCACAUUGGAACUGAGACACGGUCCAAACUCCUACGGGAGGCAGCAGUGAGGAAUAUUGGUCAAUGGACGAGAGUCUGAACCAGCCAAGUAGCGUGCAGGAAGACGGCCCUAUGGGUUGUAAACUGCUUUUAUAAGGGAAUAAAGUGAGUCUCGUGAGACUUUUUGCAUGUACCUUAUGAAUAAGGACCGGCUAAUUCCGUGCCAGCAGCCGCGGUAAUACGGAAGGUCCGGGCGUUAUCCGGAUUUAUUGGGUUUAAAGGGAGCGUAGGCCGGAGAUUAAGCGUGUUGUGAAAUGUAGACGCUCAACGUCUGCACUGCAGCGCGAACUGGUUUCCUUGAGUACGCACAAAGUGGGCGGAAUUCGUGGUGUAGCGGUGAAAUGCUUAGAUAUCACGAAGAACUCCGAUUGCGA